rnacentral:miRNA from 1 species
GACCGAGGAUGAAAAUCA